AAACAUCGCCUUUUGUUAAAUUAUAAAAGGUCUUGCCUGCCCCGUGAUUUAUUUUAACGGCCGCGGUAUCUUAACCGUGCAAAGGUAGCAUAAUCAAUUGUCUCUUAAAUUGAGACUAGUAUGAACGGCACCACGAGGGUUUAACUGUCUCCCCCUUUUAAUCAAUGAAAUUAACCUUCCCGUGAAGAACCGGGAAUAUAUCUAUAAGACGAGAAGACCCCAUGGAGCUUUAAACUUAUUGUCAUUUAUUUAAUAGUACAACACACUACCAGAUAAAAAUGCCUUAUAGUUUUUGGUUGGGGCGACCCUGGAGAAAAAUAGAUCCUCCAGAUUGAAAGGGUAAUAACCCUUAUAUAAGAACUACCAUUCAAACAAACAAAAAUUUGACAAAACUGACCCAGAAUUAACUGAUCAGUGAACCAAGUUACCCUGGGGAUAACAGCGCAAUCCAUUUCAAGAGCCCAUAUCGACAAAUGGGUUUACGACCUCGAUGUUGGAUCAGGGGAUCCUAGCAGCGCAGCCGUUGCUAAUGGUUCGUUUGUUCAACGAUUAAUGCCCUACGUGAU
rnacentral:rRNA from 1 species